AUGAUGUUCUCGAGCCAGGUCGACGCCUUCUCGCCGUCGCAGUUCCCCGCGUCGCAGAACGCCGCCGCCGACUCCACCCCCAACAAGUUCCGGGGCGCGUCGGGCACGAUGCCGCUGACCGUGAGGCAGAUCACGGACGCGCGACUGGCCGGCACGGGGAAGAAGGGCUUGCCCUUGGUCGUCGACGGUGUCGAGACGGCCAACGUCAGGCUCGUGGGGAUGCUGAGCGGCAAGGCGGAGCAGAACACGGACGUGUCCUUCACCCUCGACGGCACCGGGGCGACAUGCGGCGGCGGGAUCCCGGGCGGCGGCGGGCCGCCAGAUGCUUGA
rnacentral:rRNA from 1 species